rnacentral:misc_RNA from 1 species
GUGAAUCAUCGAAUCUUUGAACGCACAUUGCACUCCCUGGUAUUCCGGAGAGUAUGCCUGUUUGAGGGUCAGUUUAAAUUAAAAUCGGUGUGGUUGCUGCCUUUCGUGGUGCCGCUCUGGAUGUGGGUCGUCUUGCCUUCGGUUAAGUGACCUAGAAUUUUGCAUGAUUUUUUUCGCACGUAUCUAAAUGAUUUUACG